rnacentral:rRNA from 1 species
GGAAUAUUGCGCAAUGGAGGAAACUCUGACGCAGUGACGCCGCGUAUAGGAAGAAGGUUUUCGGAUUGUAAACUAUUGUCGUGAGGGAAGAAAUUGACAGUACAUCAGGAGGAAGCUCCGGCUAACUAUGUGCCAGCAGCCGCGGUAAUACAUAGGGAGCAAGCGUUAUCCGGAUUUACUGGGUGUAAAGGUAGCGUAGACGGUGAUGUAAGUCUGGAGUGAAAGGCGGGGGCCCAACCCCCGGACUGCUCUGGAAACUAUGUGACUGGAGUGCAGGAGAGGUGAGCGGAAUUCCUAGUGUAGCGGUGAAAUGCGUAGAUAUUAGGAGGAACACCAGUGGCGAAGGCGGCUCACUGGACUGUAACUGACGUUGAGGCUCGAAAGCGUGGGGAGCAAACAGG